AAACUAUGAUGGGGACAUUGGUUUGUGUAACUCCUAAACAUUUCCCAUGCUUCCCCAAAGCUUUCAUUUUGUGCUGGUAAAGCUUGAGAUUUGAUUCCUCAACUU
rfam:Eutrema salsugineum unplaced genomic scaffold scaffold_4, whole genome shotgun sequence.